rnacentral:lncRNA from 1 species
CUCCGGGGGGGGCUAACAGUUCCCUCCCUCCCGGGCACCGAGGCACAGUCACAUGCUGCUCACAAGCUUCUGUCCAGGGGAAAGCUGGCGGUGAGUGCUUGCUCUUUCCUCUUCAAUGAACCUGCUUUUCCAUCUUGGAAGAGGAUGAAAUGCACCUCUCAGAAUGCAAGUUUCCCUGCGGACACUAUCCCCAGUGGUGGAGUGAUGGAGAGAACUGAGAUGAGGUCAGGGAACAACUGAACUAAAAACUCACGAAAUGGAAGGUUUGGAAGGAAUUUUCACAAGUCACAGAGGCCCUUGGAAAUGUGUUUCCUGGUGGGAAACACAAAGCUGUGAGACAUGAGAUGUUCUCACUCUGGGUGCGAGUGGAAGGUCCAAGGGGAGGAAAUACCCCUCGCACCCCCACAAAAGUGUUUCAAGAGCCAAGUGGAAGGAUGCAGAGGCACAGCAUAGGGCUUCACUAGUAACAAUGUGAAGGAGUGUGCCACCACAUCUCUCUACUAGAGGUUUUCUGCCACCCAGUGAAUCUUUUUUUCACUGAGGAACCAUCAACUUUGACAAGGCACUUCUGAGCACAAGGAACAAGAGAGAGACAUGGUCUGGAAGGUCAAGGUUGGGCUGGAUCCAUGACAAGUUCACUUGACUCAUUCUGAAUUUCAGCAGGAGGGAGGUAUCAAAAUUAAAGAUAAGAUUGGACAACAACAGAAAAUUAAAUAUUGUGGCUGAGAAAAUAAUGGAUAAUCAGGAAAUCUAAGUCCAGCAAAUUCUCACACUUUAACAGAAAGAUUUUCAGUUCCUGAGAAAGAAACAAAUCUGACUACUGGAAAGACCUUCAGGGUGGGAAACUGUGCUGAGAAAGGUCUCAAAAUUUUUCACCAUUGCUCUCUGCUUGGACAUAGCCAGUUAGUGUUGCUCACAUCUCAAUAGACUUGUAAAUGCCAAAAUAACAGCGCCUCACCCGAGGAAUCCUUCUGACUUAGGUGGCUAUCCUGUCUUCAAUGCUGGCUGGACUGGAGAAUUCCCAGAAUGCUCUUGGACAUUGGAGUACUUCCUGCAGAUGGGAGGAGGUGGUCUGCCUGGGAGAAGCAAGUCACCUGGGUCACAUGGCACUUGACCUUCAAGACUAAACGAGAAGGAACGCCUGGUAGGAUGGGUGCUGUUUUUACGAAGUCCAGGAGGUCAAGCAAUGAGCCAUUGGGGUGAAUCACCGAACAGAACACUAAAGGGAGACUUUUGUUCCAAUCAUGAGUUUAGAGGAGAGUCUUAAAAUGGUAAGGACAAGUAAAUAUGGGGCAAGAAGCAUAACCGAGCCAAGAAAUGCUGGAGCAGAUGACAACUGAACAGUAGAAACCAGGCAGAGGCCAGCCCUACAGGGCCAGGGAGGAAAGAAACAGCAGACUGGAGAAAACAAUAAAAAGGGAGAAAAAGAAAUAUGGAGAUGGGGAGGAUGAAAUGGAAAAUAAAAAC